UGCGCAAGUUGCUUCCCGUGCAAGGUGCCAC
rnacentral:piRNA from 1 species